UUACGGCUAUAUCACAUUGAAACACUGGUUCUCGUACGAUCACCAAAGUUAAGCAACCUCGUGCCUGGUCAGUACUUAGAUGGGUGUC